CACCUAGUAGCUCAGUGGUUAGAGCACUCGCCUUCCAAGCGAGAGGAUCAGGGUUCGAUUCCCGUGCGAGGCAAAACCUGA